rnacentral:rRNA from 1 species
CACGUAGGGUGCGAGCGUUGUCCGGAAUUAUUGGGCGUAAAGAGCUCGUAGGUGGCUUGUCGCGUCUGCCGUGAAAGCCCAUGGCUUAACUGUGGGUCUGCGGUGGAUACGGGCAGGCUGGAGGCUGGUAGGGGCAAGCGGAAUUCCUGGUGUAGCGGUGAAAUGCGUAGAUAUCUGGAGGAACACCGGUGGCGAAGGCGGCAUCCUGGACCAACACUGACACUGAGGAGCGAAAGCCAGGGGAGCAAACGGG